GGUGGCGGGACGGGACGGUAACGUGACGGACUGCAACUCCGUAGCCCCGAGAAGGGACCCGGUUCGACUCCGGGCGCCACCUCCA
rnacentral:tRNA from 1 species